UAAUAAUAUUCAAGACAAUAACCAAAAACAGCAAAAUUUCCUUAAAAUUACCAAUUUAGGGGCAGCAACCCAACAACGGGUUGUCAGAUUCAUCUGAAAAUUUCGGGGCAGAUAGAUCUUGACCUGAUAAACAAAUUAACCCCCAUGUCAGAUUUGCUCUAAACGCUUUGGUUUUUGAGUUAUAAGCCAAAAACUGCAUUUUACCCCUAUGUUGUAUUUUUAGCCAUGGCGGCCAUCUUGGUUGGAUGGCCGCGUCAUCGGACACAUUUUUUAAACUAGAUACCCCAAAGAUGAUUGUGGAUAAGUUUGGAUUAAUUUGGCCCAGUAGUUUCAGAGGAGAAGAUUUUUGUAAAAGAUUACUAAGAUUUACGAAAAAUGGUUAAAAAUUGACUAUAAAGGGCAAUAACUCCUAUAUGGGUCAACUGACCAUUUCGGUCAUGUUGACUUAUUUGUAAAUCUUACUUUGCUGAACAUUAUUGCUGUUUACAGUUUAUUUUUAUCUAUAAUAAUUUUCAAGAUAAUAACCAAAAACAGUAAAAUUUCCUUAAAAUGACCAAUUCAGGGGCAGGAACCCAACAACUGGUUGUCCGAUUUAUCUGAAAAUUUCAGGGCAGAUAGAUCUUGACCUGAAAAACAAUUUAGCACCUGUCAGAUUUGCUCUAGACGCUUUGGUUUUUUAGUUAUAAGCCAAAAACUGCAUUUUACCCCUAUGUUCUAUUUUUAGCCAUGGCGGCCAUCUUGGUUGGAUGGCUGGGUCAUCAGACACAUUUUUUAAACUAGAUACCCCAAAGAUGAUUGUGAAUAAGUUUGGAUUAAUUUGGCCCAGUAGUUUCAGAGGAGAAGAUUUUUGUAAAAGAUUACUAAGAUUUACGAAAAAUGGUUAAAAAUUGACUAUAAAGGGCAAUAACUCCUAAAGGGGUCAACUGACCAUUUCGGUCAUGUUGACUUAUUUGUAAAUCUUACUUUGCUGAACAUAAUGGCUGUUUACAGUUUAUCUCUAUCUAUAAUAAUAUACAAGAUAAUAACCAAAAACAGCAAAAUUUCCUUAAAAUUACCAAUUCAGGGGCAGCAACCCAACAACAGGUUGUCAGAUUCAUCUGAAAAUUUCAGGGUAGAUAGAUCUUGACCUGAUAAACAAUUUUACCAAAUGUCAGAUUUGCUCUUAAUGCUUUGGUUUUUAAGUUAUAAGCCAAAAACUGCAUUUUACCCCUAUGUUCUAUUUUUAGCCGUGGCGGCCAUCUUGGUUGGUUGGCCGGGUCACCGGACACAUUUUUUAAACUAGAUACCCCAAAGAUAAUUGUGGCCAAGUUUGGAUAAAUUUGGCCCAGUAGUUUCAGAGGAGAAGAUUUUUGUAAAAGAUUAUUAAGAUUUACGAAAAAUGGUUAAAAAUUGACUAUAAAGGGCAAUAACUCCUAAAGGGGUCAACUGAUCAUUUCGGUCAUGUUGACUUAUUUGUAGAUCUUACUUUGCUGAACAUUAUUGCUGUUUACUGUUUAUCUCUAUCUAUAAUAAUAUUCAAGAUAAUAACCAAAAACAGCAAAAUUUCCUUAAAAUUACUAAUUCAGGGGCAGCAACCCAACAACGGGUUAUCCGAUUCAUCUGAAAAUUUCAGGGCAGAUAGAUCUUGACCUGUUACACAAGUUUACCCCAUGUCAGAUUUGCUCUAAAUGCUUUGGUUUUUGAGUUAUAAGCCAAAAACUGCAUUUUACCCCUAUGUUCUAUUUUUAGCCAUGGCGGCCAUCUUGGAUGGUUGGCCGGGUCACCGGACACAUUUUUUAAACUAGAUACCCCAAUGAUGAUUUUGGCCAAGUGUGGUGUAAUUUGGCCCAGUAGUUUCAGAGGAGAAGAUUUUUGUAAAAGUUAACGACGCCAGACGACGACGGACGACAGACGACGGACGACAGACGACGGACGACAGACGACGGACGACGGACGACGGACGCCAAGUGAUGGGAAAAGCUCACUUGGCCCUUUGGGCCAGGUGAGCUAAAAAUGUUUUACAAUAGCACAAUAC
rnacentral:lncRNA from 1 species